CUCUACCUACACCCAUCUACACCACCUCUGAAACUCCUCCUUCCACCACCAGAACCUCUCAACCACUACCAAAAUUCAACCUUGCCAAUACCUCAUUACCACCUUCUGAAGCUGAAGAAAUGAAUCAAACCACCUCCUCAUCCUCAGCCCCAGAAUCACCUCCCUAUUUUAUCCUUUCUUCUGACACAGAACCCUCUGACCCUGCCUCUCCCACUCUAGCCCAACUUCAAUCUCUCAACCGUAAUUCACAACAACCACAAC
rnacentral:lncRNA from 1 species